rnacentral:rRNA from 1 species
UGGGGAAUAUUGGACAAUGGGCGAAAGCCUGAUCCAGCCAUGCCGCGUGAGUGAUGAAGGCCCUAGGGUUGUAAAGCUCUUUUGUGCGGGAAGAUAAUGACGGUACCGCAAGAAUAAGCCCCGGCUAACUUCGUGCCAGCAGCCGCGGUAAUACGAAGGGGGCUAGCGUUGCUCGGAAUCACUGGGCGUAAAGGGUGCGUAGGCGGGUCUUUAAGUCAGGGGUGAAAUCCUGGAGCUCAACUCCAGAACUGCCUUUGAUACUGAAGAUCUUGAGUUCGGGAGAGGUGAGUGGAACUGCGAGUGUAGAGGUGAAAUUCGUAGAUAUUCGCAAGAAAACCAGUGGCGAAGGCGGCUCACUGGCCCGAUACUGACGCUGAGGCACGAAAGCGUGGGGAGCAAACAGG